rnacentral:lncRNA from 1 species
AUGCAAUGUGAAAUGGGGGGUUUGCUUUUGUCCUUCUCCUUUGUAAGGAGUUCUGUUUUCUUGCCGUCCUUGUGGAGAUCAUAAAAGAAAGAGGACAGGAUAAACCGUCCUCCACGUUGCUUCCUGAAACAAUAUCAGAUGUAGGGCGGCAAACUACCUCUAUUUUUUUUUUCUUUUGGGCAAACAGCUGUUUUUGUUUUAAGCUACACGACGCCAAAUUCAAAGGGAACAUUAACUUCGUUCACUAGUUAAUGGAAUUACAGGACAGGAGGAUGAGUACAUGGCAACAAAUUUACAUACAACAGGUCAAUCCAGGGAAUCUGCAAAUUAUUCUUGUAUUCAUAGGAGCUCUCAUUUGUUUCAUGUAUCUAAGCUGAUAAUAUACUCAAAUCUUAAUUGCAUUCAAAAAAUUGCAGUGCGUUGUUUCAUGUUAGGUAUUUUUCUUUUCAAGACCAAUUAGUUGUACACCCUUCUAGAGAAGUUCUUAAUCUUCAAUGUCAAAAAAUUUGUGUUAAUCAAAUACAAGUGAAAACAUACAUUUUAGUCAGAAAGGGUAGCAGGUUUCAAUUUUUCCCAGGUCGAGACAUCAAGCCAU